GAUGAAACGCAGCGAAAUGCGAUAAGUAAUGUGAAUUGCAGAAUUCAGUGAAUCAUCGAAUCUUUGAACGCACAUUGCGCCCGCCAGUAUUCUGGCGGGCAUGCCUGUUCGAGCGUCAUUUCAACCAUCAAGCCCUGCUUGCGUUGGGGUCCUGCGGCUGCCCGCAGGCCCUGAAAACCAGUGGCGGGCUCGCUAGUCACACCGAGCGCAGUAAUACAUCUCGCUUUGGGCGUGCGGCGGGUUCUUGCCGUAAAACCCCCAAUUUUUUAAGGUUGACCUCGGAUCAGGUAGGAAUACCCGCUGAACUUAAGCAUAUCAAUAAGCGGAGGA
rnacentral:misc_RNA from 1 species